UUCAAAUGAAUUAUGGGAUUUUGUAAAUUAUAUAAAUUAAUAAAAUAAUUUUCAGUUUGUUACAUGAAUAUAAGGAAAAACAUGGAAAAAAUUCUCCUGUUAGCAUAUUAUGUUAUGAUCCUCUUUUUUUCCCUAUAUCUUGUUGUAACUGAUGCAAGGAAUGUUAAUUGUACUUCUGUCCUUGAUUGUGCAUACAAUCGAUGUAUUCUUCCUACCAUGGUGUUAUGCGUGAAAGAAAAAUGUAUAUGUGCUUAACAGACAAGCUGAACAACACAAGAUAAAUGCUAUCGUCAAUAACAACUAUUUGUCUUGUUUAUUGCCAUUAUAAUAAAUAAUAACGUGAUUUCACUA